AAGAGCACCAAUUAUGCUAAUAAAUUAGCACGUUAGCACGUUAUUGUAAUAUCCCAUAGUACAUACAUGUUAUUAAAACUUGAACUAAUGCACUGUGAGUCUUAUAAAUUGCUUACAUACCUCACCGAUUUCUGCAUGUCUGGAAAACGCUCGGUUUAGUUCCUGUCUCCGCCUCCCAAAAUGUCUAGUGUAUUCGGAUUGGUCAGAUGACUACUCAACUGUUAUUGGUCAACUGGGUUCGGCGUGUGUUUGAAAGGUUACGCCCCUGACUACGCGUGGGUUUUCCGGUUCUGACUGAGAGUCACAGGCAACGUAAACAAGCGCUAUAUUUCUCUAUAAACGAUGGUGUCUGUACUGCCUUACCACUUCAAGCUCGAUCCAGAGAGUUCAGACGGCCGUUACGAUAUAAACGAUCUCCGUCAAUGAACGCGAAUGGAUUUAACUUUUUUAGGUGUCCUUAGCUCUGCCAGAAUGCUAAACGAAGACGAAAAUGUGUUGCAAAGACAUCCAAAAGGUUUUAAGGAGAAUGCAACAUGUUCCAGGGCCUCUUACCUGCGUGAUUCAUCAUCCAGGUUUUGCACAAAUUGUCUAAAUCCCUACACACAGAACAUUUAUUGUACCGACUAUAAGCCUUUGAGUUGCAGGACUAGAAUACGCUUGGAGCUUCCUGAUCAGAUCGGUCACAAUUUUGGCUUUCGACGACCCCUGCACUGAAGAUGGCAUGCAAUCACGUCCUCCUUUGAAGGUCUCUCAAACUGUGAUGCCAG